AAUCGACAUUUUCUUUUUUAAAUUUCUCCCAAACUUGAGUGCGUCCUCGAUUUUUCUGUAGUUCUGUAAUCGGAUCUUAAGUCGUUGGAAAUGGAACUUAUUUGCAAAUUAUACCUGAGCAAAAGGAAAAUAUUUCAUAACCAAUUUACAACGCACUACAAGAACUUGAAAAAAAUAUUUAAUUUGAUUUUGACUUCCAUGGGUUCUGAUUUUAAACGACUACAAAAAGGUUCUAAAGUUCUUUAGACAUUUAAAUAUUCCAUCGUCACGACCGCCACAGUACUAA